UAUGGUGUGUGUGUAUGUAUAU
rnacentral:miRNA from 1 species